rnacentral:rRNA from 1 species
UACGUAGGGUGCGAGCGUUGUCCGGAAUUACUGGGCGUAAAGAGCUCGUAGGUGGUUUGUCGCGUUGUUCGUGAAAACUCACAACUCAAUUGUGGGCGUGCGGGCGAUACGGGCAGACUGGAGUACUGCAGGGGAGACUGGAAUUCCUGGUGUAGCGGUGGAAUGCGCAGAUAUCAGGAGGAACACCGGUGGCGAAGGCGGGUCUCUGGGGCAGUAACUGACGCUGAGGAGCGAAAGCGUGGGGAGC